rnacentral:rRNA from 1 species
CCUACGGGAGGCAGCAGUGAGGAAUAUUGGUCAAUGGACGAGAGUCUGAACCCGCCAAGUAGCGUGAAGGAUGACUGCCCUAUGCGUUGUAAACUUCUUUUAUAUGGGAAUAAAAUGUUCCACGUGUGGGAUUUUGUAUGUACCUUAUGAAUAAGGAUCGGCUAACUCCGUGCCAGCAGCCGCGGUAAUACGGAGGAUCCGAGCGUUAUCCGGAUUUAUUGGGUUGAAAGGGUGCGUAGGUGGAGUGUUAAGUCAGUUGUGAAACUUUGCGGCUCAACCGUAAAAUUGCAGUUGAAACUGGCAGUCUUGAGUACAGUAGAGGUAGGCGGAAUUCGUGGUGUAGCGGUGAAAUGCUUAGAUAUCACGAAGAACUCCGAUUGCGAAGGCAGUUCACUGGACUGCAACUGACACUGAGGCUCGAAAGUGUGGGUAUCGAACAGGAUUAGAUACCCCUGUAGUC